UGUGAAUUUAACUUAUACCUGUGGGCUAAAUACAGAAUAAGUGCAGCCCAGGCACUAGGAACGUGGGCAUCAGAACUAGAGCACGUGGGUUCUAAAUCCAGCGCCAAAGACUCACUAGCUGUGUGACCACAGGAAUAUUCCUGAACCCCUCUGUGGCUCAUCUUUGUCAACUGUAAAAGGGGAUUACCAUAUACUGUAUUCCCUACCACCUGCAAAGCUGUGAGGAUUAAGUAACUGAAUACAAAUACAAUCCUUAUUGCUUAGUAAAUAUUAGUUAUUAAUGUGGGUUGAACAACAUGAAAUUACCAUUCUGAAAGUCGCAAACAGUCAAAUAUUAGCAAAUUCAUUUGAUUUUACAUUUGUCGAAACAUGAAUCUAGUGGCGUUUUCCUGUUUCCCCAUUCAGCCUCCCCUGAAGAAGACCCAUCUUCUCUACCUUUGAUGAAUGUGGCAGUUGGAGUUCCAGCACUUACGGCCAACAACUUCAGCCUAGGUCAAUGCCAGGCAUCUGGUGAGUGCUCUACAGAUGACUGAGAGAGUGAGGAAACAGAGCCCUAGUUGAGCUUACUACUUCAUCCUCCAAACCGGCAGACUGCCUCUUGCUCAGUGCAACCAUGGAUCAGUCAGAAGCCUUACCAUCUAUACAGUCAGUGUGCCCUUCGCGUUUACGUAACUCUGCCGUCGGCAACCUCAGCUUGUGCAGGUGGGCCACUUUGCACUUUGGGGCUUCCUCUCUAGCUCUUCCAGUUUGGAAAUCACUCUACAGCUUAGGGACUGAAAGCAAUUGUAAAACUCACCAAGUUAUUUUGGAAAUACGUGUGAUAGUCAGUGUUUUGUCUAUUCUGGAAGAGAUUCAGAAGUCAAGAGAAAUACACGGAGAAAAGGAACGGUUGAAAAUCUGUGUAAGGAAAGAAACGUAUUUGCUCAGAUGAGUUCAUGUUAUUAAUUUUAAAAGCAGUAUUUUUAUUUCUCUGCUUAUUGAUGAUGAUUCCAGUAGAUUGGGAUGAAAUGGGAACAGAUUAUCUGAUGUUAAGCUUCUCAAAUCAUGUUCAAAUGUUUGUUCCUGAAGGUACCUUUGAAACGAUCUGGCCCAAACUCCUUAUUUUAUAUACUGGGUCUCAGAGAAUGGAAGUGACAUCCCAAGGACCACCCAGUCAGUAAGUGAUAGCACAGAAGUGAAGCCGGGGCUCUGCCACCGACCCAGCCCCUCUCGCCUGCUUCCCUAUCCUGAGCAGCUUUCUCUGUGACAUUUCUCAAUGAAACUUAAACCCACAAUUCUCGGGCUCAAGGCAGGCUUGUACUUGGCCAGAACGAUAGGAGAAAAAGUGUGAUGAGCAAUGUCAAACUUCUAAAAUACCAAGUAAAACUAUUCCUCAUUUUAGAAGGAAGAAAAAAGACAGGAAAAUUUACACUAAAGGCUUUCCAGUACCCCGAGAAGCACCUCUUGAGCCCGACCAGCACAGAGAAGACAUUCAAAGUCUAGAAGACACGAAAACUCAGGGCUUGGUACUGCAGAAUUUCCCUGGAGGUGAAAGGCCUCUGGACUUCGGCCCUGCAAGGGAGUGAGAGAACUCAGACCAGAGGGUUGACUGCUCGCUAGUCAAAAAUUGUCCAAACAGGAUCAAAUGCUUUAUUUCGCUCCUUUAGCGUGUGAAUUCUUGAGGAAAGGGACUCUGGGCUCUCUUGUUUCUGACGCUCAAGGCCUAGCACGAUGUUUCUUCCCACAGCUCCUAAC
rnacentral:lncRNA from 1 species